GGGUCGUUGGCAGAAUGGUUUUGCAGCCGCCUUUUAAGCGGAUGGAUCGAGGUUCAAUUCCUUGGCGACCUACCA
rnacentral:tRNA from 1 species